AUUGAACGCUGGCGGUAGGCCUAACACAUGCAAGUCGAACGCGAACGUCCUUCGGGAUGAGUAGAGUGGCGGACGGGUGAGUAACGCGUAGGAAUCUAUCCUGUAGUGGGGGAUAACGUUUCGAGAGGAACGCUAAUACCGUAUACGCCCCACGGGGGAAAGCGGGGGAUCUUCGGACCUCGUGCUAUAGGAGGAGCCUGCGUCGGAUUAGCUAGUUGGGGAGGUAAAGGCUCACCAAGGCGACGAUCCGUAGCUGGUCUGAGAGGAUGAUCAGCCACACCGGAACUGAGACACGGUCCGGACUCCUACGGGAGGCAGCAGUGGGGAAUAUUGCGCAAUGGGCGAAAGCCUGACGCAGCCGUACCGCGUGUGUGAAGAAGGCCUUCGGGUUGUAAAGCACUUUCAGUGGGGAGGAAAAGCGGGUGGCUAAUAUCCAUCGGCCGUGACGCUACCCACAGAAGAAGCACCGGCUAAUUCCGUGCCAGCCGCCGCAGUAAGAC
rnacentral:rRNA from 1 species